AUGCGCCAACAUUUGUGGUCUCAUUCGGUCCGGUUCGGUAGACAGGAGCAAGUGUUCAGAGCUGCUGGUGGUUCAAAUAAAAGUCUUAAAAACAAUGAAAUAAAACACGCUAAGGAGAAUCUUUGGGACAUCAUGGACGAUGAUUUUGACCGCCGCAUGGAGCUGAGGAGGCAGAGGAGAGAGCAGAUGCGCCUUGAGGCUGAAAAGGUGAGUUACGCCAACGACGAUGAGGAAGAGGAAGUGCGUGAGCAAAGGAGACGUGCACGGGAGGAGAGGAGGAAAAUGAAGGACAUGGAGGAGUCUGGAACAGCAGAUGCGAUCAACACAAACAGUGUGAUGGAGUCCGAGUCUCACGCGGCCGGAGCUGGAGGAGCAGACGAUGACCAGGCUCUGCUGGACCGUCUGGCUAAGAGGGAGGAGCGCAGGCAGAAGAGGAUGAAGGAGGCAAUGGAGAGGCAGAAGGAGCUGGACCCCACAUUCAGCUCCACCAACGGCACAGGGGACACACCACAGGAGCAAUCCUCCAUCAGCAGCAGCAACGGGCACCAGGAGACAGAGGAGGAGGAGGAAAAGAAUGAGGAGUGUGUCUGUGAGGCGGCUGCCGGUGCAAACUCCUGGAGGAGAGAGGAGGAUGGAGAUAAGGAGGAGGAGAGGGAAAGCGCCGCAGUGGUCGAGGAGACCAAAGAGAAGAGUGACUCAGCAGAGGAGGAGGCUGAACUGGACCUGGUGGAGGAAACUGGUCCUGAUGAAGAGGAAGAUGAAAGGAAAAUAAGAGAGGAUGAAGAAAGGCUGCAAAAAGAACUAGAAGAGAAGCAACAGAUAGAAGAGGAAGAAAAGAAACAAAGAGACAUGGAGGAAAAACUAAAAAGGGAAGAGGAAGAAAGGCAGAGAAAGGAAGAAGAGGAGAGAAAGAUGAGAGAAGAAGAAGAAGAGAGACAUCAAAGAGAAAAAGAAGAACGGCUGAAACAAGAGGAGGAAGAAAGACGUAAAAAAGAGACAGAGGAAAAAAUGAGAAAAGAAGAGGAAAAGCAGAAAAAAGCCAUGGAAGAGAGGCUGAAAGUGGAAGAGGAGGAAAAAAGGAAAAAGGAGAUGGAGGAAGAGAAGAAGAAAGAAGAGGAAGAAAAACAGAGAAAAGAAAUGGAGGAGAAAAAGAAAAGGGAGGAGGAGAAGCUGAGGAAGAAGGAGCAGGAGGAGAAGAAGAAAGAGGAGGAGAGGCGAAAAAGAGAAAUGGAGGAAAAGAUGAAAGAAGAGAAGAGGAAAAGGGAAAUGGAGGAGGAGAAGAAGAAAGAGGAGGAGAAGAGGCAGAAAAAUGAGAUGGAGAAAAAGAAAAAGGAGGAGGAGGAGAAGCGUAAAAAACAAGAGAUGGAGAAAAAGAAGAAAGUGGAGGUACUGAUGUGA
rnacentral:lncRNA from 1 species